AGCACUUGGGUGUGGGAUGGCUAAUUUAGUGUAUAGGGUUUGGUGGACAGCGGCUUCACCAACUUCUGAUUCUCGCUGUCAUCAUCGAAGAAGAGCAACUUGAUCAGGGCAGUAGGUUGUUACGUCUGGCCAGUAGGUUUGAUUUGGGGCUGUUGGAACUUGUCGUGGCAAUCUUGCUUUGGUUGAGGGCAUCAAGGAAGAGCCACUCACCUUGUUCCAGCAGAAAACACAUUCCUUGAUUAUGGAUU